GCUGAUAGUCCUAAUUACAAGUAAUCGUUAUUUCCACAUUUACUUUCUGCAGUCUGACGUCAGUUCGCCACCUCACCAUCUGCGUCACCAAUUUCUAUUGUCUCCAAAAUAUGUGUACGCAUGGGUCAGAAUUUGCGUGGAGGACCACACAUUCUUCCAACAAGUAUGUUUUUUAUAAAUCGCAACCUUUGCGUGGGAAGUGGCGUACGCACAUUUUCAG